CACGUAGGGGCCAAGCGUUGUCCGGAUUCAUUGGGCGUAAAGAGCUCGUAGGCGGUUCGAUAAGUCGGGUGUGAAACCUCCAGGCUCAACCUGGAGACGCCACCCGAUACUGUCGUGACUAGAGUCCAGUAGGGGAGCGUGGAAUUCCUGGUGUAGCGGUGAAAUGCGCAGAUAUCAGGAGGAACACCAGCGGCGAAGGCGGCGCGCUGGGCUGGAACUGACGCUGAGGAGCGAAAGCGUGGGGAGCGAACAGG
rnacentral:rRNA from 1 species